rnacentral:rRNA from 1 species
GAUCCUGGCUCAGGAUGAACGCUGGCGGCGUGCUUAACACAUGCAAGUCGAACGAAGCACUUUACCUGAUUUCCUUCGGGGAGUGAUUGUUCUGCGACUGAGUGGCGGACGGGUGAGUAACGCGUGGAUAACCUGCCUCACACAGGGGAGUAACAGUUGGAAACGACUGCUAAUACCGCAUAAGCGCACAGCACCGCAUGGUGCAGUGUGAAAAACUCCGGUGGU